UGGGGAAUAUUGCACAAUGGGCGCAAGCCUGAUGCAGCCAUGCCGCGUGUAUGAAGAAGGCCUUCGGGUUGUAAAGUACUUUCAGUCGGGAGGAAGGUGGUAAGGUUAAUAACCUUAUCAAUUGACGUUACCGACAGAAGAAGCACCGGCUAACUCCGUGCCAGCAGCCGCGGUAAUACGGAGGGUGCAAGCGUUAAUCGGAAUUACUGGGCGUAAAGCGCACGCAGGCGGUUGAUUGAGUCAGAUGUGAAAUCCCCGGGCUUAACCCGGGAAUUGCAUCUGAUACUGGUAAGGUAGAGUCUUGAAGAGGGGGGUAGAAUUCCAUGUGUAGCGGUGAAAUGCGUAGAGAUGUGGAGGAAUACCGGGGGCGAAGGCGGCCCCCUGGACAAAGACUGACGCUCAGGUGCGAAAGCGUGGGGAGCAAACAGG
rnacentral:rRNA from 1 species